UAGCGAAGAGCCUCAACCCGAUCCCAUUCCGAACUCGGCCGUUAAACUCUUCAGCGCCAAUGGUACUAUGGCUUAAGCCCUGGGAGAGUAGGUCGCUGCCAGGC
rnacentral:rRNA from 1 species